UCCUUGGCAGCAUCCCGUUAGUUCCAAACAAAAAACUCCAGGGUACAGGCCAGGAGUGCACUGAAAUAUCCUCAACAGGUUGUGCUGCCUUUUGAGAACCAUCCCCCUGAUCCAGCUCCAGGGAGAAGGGGCCCCAGGACUAACCACCAGUCAAGGAAGAGUUGGAGACAGGUCUCAGCCCUGCUUUGCAACAACAACAAAAAGUCCGUCUCCUCUGUGGUGGCUGCAGGAGGCGCAGCCGCUGACGGGAACAAUUUUUCAUACUGAGGAACAUUACAGUCCUUUUUGGAAUGGCGGUAAUUUACCUCUCGUUUUAGCGUCCCCAUCCGCAACACCCCACCUCCACCAAGCCAGGCAGCGCACAGCCUUCGCGCCUCCUGCAAGAUUUCUUUCCUGACCACAGCGACACCCACCGAGGAAACGCGAGACCAAAAGAGCGCUGAACAAACCGAAAAAUCAACAACUCUUCUCAGAUGCAUCAGAGAACUGAAGCCACAGGAGAAGCCACUGCCCACAAACUGGAGAGACUACGGCAGAUGCAAAGUCACGACUCACCAGAGCAGAGCCAGCCUGUGGGAGCCGCUGCCUGGGCGGGAAGAGCUGAGGCCUGCCCUCAAGAGAAAGUAAUUUACUAGAGCCUAACCUGCUGAGGUUUUGCCAGACCCUAACCAACCUGGGGGAAUGGAUGUACCGAUCUCGACCUUCUCCAGCCUCCCUGUGUCAGCGAUGAGGGACAAACAAGACGAAGAAAAUGGAGACGCUCUUAUGAAGGUCGGCUCACUAAAAGACUGCCAAUUGUAGGACCACAGACGCUUUCCCUCCACAUCAUCGUCCAGAUCUCUAGGGCUCCAGUAUAACAACUGGGGAAUACACCUCCGAGAACUGUGCCUCUUAGAAGCUUCAAGAAGCCUCUGGGGAAAUCCAAGGACAACAGGGGAGGCAAAAACAGGAACACUGGGAGCAAGUUUAGCCUCUAACACCUUAUAGCUACAGCAAACAGAAACCACAGCCCAAGCCCGAGCCAGAUAAACACAAAACCUUACACUAAUGGCCUGUUUCCCUCAGUUCCUUGUACUCUAUUCCACAUCUGUCUCGAAACAAAAAAGCGUAAGACACGCUAAGACACUUUGAAGAGCCUCCAAAUCCCUGGCCCAUGCUCCACUGUCCCAGCAGACUUCACUUACAAAACACAAAUUCAAAACCCAAAUUAUUAUUUCAGGACGGAAGCCACAGAGCAUUACAGGCCGAGCAGACCACACAUCUGGGAAGCCAGCCUGCAUGUCAGUCACAGUCCGGUCAGCACGUGUGACUGGUUAUUAACAGCUGAGCUCUCUGUGCUUCAGAUUCGUCCAGGAACUAAGUUCUGGAAAGGACGGAGUUUUGAGCAGUUGGUCUUAGUCCGGCAGCUCUGUUUUCCUUCAAAUCACAGUACAUGCAGACCUCAGAGAUACAGUGGGUUCAGUUUCAGACCACCCCACAGAGUGAAUGUCAUAACAAAGCAAGUCACAAAUCUUCUGGUUUCCUGGUGCACAUAAAAGUUAUGUUUACACUACGCUGGGCUGGUUCAAAACUGACAAAGGAGUACGACAAGGCUGCAUACUAUCACCCUGCUCAUUUAACUUAGACGCAGACUGCCUGUUUGCUAAGUUUCUUCAGUCACGUCUGACUCUUUGUGACCCUAUGGCCUUAGCUUGCCAGGCUCCUCUGUCCAUGGGAUUCUCCAGGCAA